rnacentral:misc_RNA from 1 species
UGAAUGUACAUGAUGUAUUUCACACUUGAACCACUCUCGCAUAGGAAGGGGCUCUUUGCUCUUUUACUCGGCAAGCCGAGUAACUGCGUAGGCCCGUAUCGAGAGUAAAAGUCAAUCAAAACAUUUAACAUUACAAACCACUAACAACACAUGAG